rnacentral:rRNA from 1 species
UACGAAGGGUGCAAGCGUUACUCGGAAUUACUGGGCGUAAAGCGUGCGCAGGCGGUUUUGUAAGUCUGUCGUGAAAGCCCCGGGCUCAACCUGGGAAUUGCAUUCGAUACUGGAUAGCUAGAGUUCGGCAGAGGGAAGCGGAAUUUCCGGUGUAGCGGUGAAAUGCGUAGAUAUCGGAAGGAACAUCAGUGGCGAAAGCGGCUUCCUGGACCAGAACUGACGAUCAGGCUCGAAAGCGUGGGGAGCAAACAGG